CUUCUAGAACCACCCAACCCAGCCCAACAAUCCCAAUCUCUCUCUCUCUCUCUCUCAAUCUCUCAUCUCCAGCCGCGCUUUCUCUCUCUCUCUAGCUCCCAGCCUCGACUUCACCCAAACCCUAGCCCUAUUGCGCGCGGGAGACCCGCCGGCGAGGCGCGCGCACGGAGCGAGCCGGGGGGCGGGAGGGCCAGCCGCCGCCGCCGCCGCCUGCAGCAGCGAGGAUGCCGUCGGGGUCGGCGACGCAGUUCCGGUACACGCAGACGCCGUCCAAGGUGCUCCACCUCCGGAACAUGCCGUGGGAGUGCACCGAGGAGGAGCUCGUCGAGCUCUGCAAGCCCUUCGGCAGGGUCGUCAACACCAUGUGCAACGUCGGCGCCAACCGCAACCAGGCCUUCGUCGAGUUCGCAGAUCAAAACCAGGCAAUUUCAAUGGUUUCAUAUUAUGCUUCUUCUUCAGAACCUGCUCAAGUUCGUGGCAAAACUGUAUAUAUCCAGUACUCAAACAGACAAGAAAUUACCAACAAUAAAGGAACUGGUGAUUCCUCUGGCAAUGUUCUUCUUGUCACUUUUGAAGGUGUCCAGCCUAAUGAUAUUAGCAUAGAUGUCAUUCAUUUGGUAUUUUCCGCAUUUGGGUUUGUCCACAAGAUAGCAACCUUUGAGAAGGCUGCUGGUUUCCAGGCACUUAUCCAAUAUACUGAUGCUCCAACUGCACUAGAAGCAAAAAAUUCGUUGGAUGGAAGAAGCAUCCCGAGAUAUUUACUUCCUGAACAUGUCCCCACCUGUCACCUGCGCAUAACCUUUUCUGCGCACAAGGAUUUGAAUAUCAAGUUUCAAUCACAUCGUAGCAGGGAUUACACGAAUCCAUAUCUUCCUGUGAAUCCAACAGCAAUCGAGGGAAUCGCACAGCCCACUUUAGGCCCUGAUGGGAAGAUAAAGGAGCCUGAGAGCAAUGUGCUUUUGGCUUCAAUAGAGAACAUGCAGUAUGCUGUGACGGUGGAUGUUCUACAUACUGUGUUCUCUGCUUUUGGUACUGUUCAAAAGAUUGCAAUGUUUGAGAAGAAUGGUGGAAUGCAGGCCUUAAUUCAAUAUCCAGCAGAGGGGUGUCGGAGUUCGUGAAGGCUUAGAAUGGACAUCUGCAACUAUCCACAGCUAUAAAGUUGCCUUUAACAUCACAACGGCAGCAGUUGCUAAACAAGCUUUGGAAGGGCACUGCAUAUAUGAUGGAGGUUACUGUAAGCUUCAUCUGUCAUACUCUCGUCAUACUGAUCUCAAUGUAAAGGCACAUGAUGAGAGAAGCAGAGACUACACUGUUUCAUCAGAUCCUAGUGCACAAAUGCAAGCUGCAGCGCAAGCCCCAGGUCCUAGCACUCCAGGAGUGGCAUGGCAAAACACCGCACCCAGUGCUUCCUUUUAUGGCAGCACUGCGGCAGCGACUCCUGUUGGACAAGUGCCAGCUUGGAAUCCAAACAUGCAGGCAGGUGCUUUUGGAUCGGCAUCGUCUGCAUACCCAACCCAACCAAUGAUGCCAGGAUCAGUUCCACACUAUCCAGGAAUUGGAUCCAGUUCCGGAGCACUGCCAGUAUCGUUCCAGGCCUCACAUCAGAUGCCACAGUAUGGUGUACCCCCAGCUGCUCCACACCAUGCUCCACCGGCUGGCCAACCAAUGUAUUUCCCGAAAUAAUCUAUCUUUAUCCGAUGUACAAGCAAUUAGAGCAAUUGCAAAUGUUGCCUGCAAUACUCGGGUCUGGGUAUCUUCUCUUCAAAUUUUGGGUUGUAACUCGUCUAUGCAGCUAUUCAUAUUGUAACUCAGUGAGCUCCCUGUCGCAAAUGUGCCUCUGCGUCAGUCGCUGUCUGUAAACUGUCCGGCAAUUAGAAAUUCCCAUCCUUAGCAUGCCUGGUAUUGUUCAGCUCGAAACUGAAAUUUUUCUUCGUGCCCUAUAUUUUUUCGGUGUA